UAUUUUCUGAUAUACACAGGAAAUUAAUCAGAGACUUGUCCUACAGAACAGAAUGAAAUGAGAAGAAAAGAGGAAAGAGUUCAGGUAUAAGAUAAAGCCAAGCCAUUAUGAUAUUGAUAAGCAAGACUAAACACUGUUGUUCAGUCAUCCCCACGUAAACACCAUUGCCUUUGUCAUACACAAUAAAAGAGUUCAAAAAAAGGUUAACCAGCAUAAAGAAACCUUUUGGGUCAUACAUCGUUCUUUCCCUUGGAAGAAACUGACAAGACAGAAAAUCAUUUCUGGGCAUCAGGGAUGAAACUAACUCUCCUUAUUUAGAUACAACAGGACUUUAGUCAAGAACAGAGAUUCUUACAGUCUAAAUUGUAAGUCUGCUGAGGCACUACAUUCUUUAUCAAACCUAUAAACUGCAGUGCAUGCAAAAUAGAAAGCAGUAAAAUUAUUAGCCCAUCAGUACUUUCUGUCGUCAGAAGUGGUAGUUACACCAAUAUACCAGAUUGAUGCGAGCAAUAUCAGAAAUUAGAGUGUUUUAUUUAAUACUUAAAUACACAUAUAAUUAAUUCUUCUCUGAAUAUUUUCACAUUUAGACACUGGUUAAGAAACAUACUGUUUGACUAACUGUGAAGGAAAAAGCACUACUUGUAAUGACACAGCCUCUCCCACUGGGGCCACUAUAAAGACACAUAGAAACCAUCAGGUGUACUAAAGUGAGGAUGAAGCCUUGAAAUGGAUCUGCUAUUUAGGUCCCUCUGUGCCUCUAUCCCUACCCAUGCUUAUCUAUUCAAGGUAAAUUAGUCUCUCCAUCAUCCAUGAUGAGAAAAAAGUUGGAAUCUAUGGAAAGCACACACUUUUUAUAUACCUUUUAGCUCCACAUUUUCAGAACUCCCUUACACACCUAAUCCUAUAGCCAUUAGUAAGGCAAUAAAAUGACAUAAAAUGAGCAAACAGCAAUAAAGCAAUCAUAUCCCAGCAUGUUUAUUUAGUCGUGGUCCUUAAUGACAGAGACCUUCGUACCCACUGAUACUUGGAGCUGCUACUAAUUCUCCUGUCUCAAAUCCCUGGUUGUCAUUGCUCUCAGACUUCUGGCCAAUGUUUUAAAGCCUGCUUCACACAAACUGUGAAGUAAAAAAACCUCACAGAAAGAAAGAUUUACUUUAUAAAUUCAGCCAAAAUUAAUUUUCUUUUAGAGCAACAUUGGAAGAGUUGAAUAAGGGAGGCAGAAUGGCAG